GGGCCAGGUCGCUGGGGUGUCGGGCGGACCCGUGGGCGGACCCUCGGCUCCGCGCCCUCCCCCUUCCCUCCGCAGCCUCCCUCCCUCCGCACCCCUGCAGCCCCGCCCGCGCACGCGCCCUCUGCCCUCGCGUGGGGUUUGCCUCGCUCUGCCGUGGCGGUUGUGAGGGUUCCCCCCGGAAGCCCGGAUGGGAAGCUGAAUGUCCCUGAGUGCCCAGAACCUUCCCAGUGCUGGAAGGCGGUCGCGCAGCAUCGCCAGGUGCACAGCUGCCUGUGCCCACCGCGGACCCCUUCCCCGGGUGUCUGUGCGGGAGGGCCCGACCGAGCGCGCGGGUCCGAGCUGGGCUGCGGACACUGAGUGCAGGGGCCGAGGACGUCGCUCACGAGGGCUUGGGCCCAGCCCCGGUAAGGGAGGUUCCGCCUCCCCAGUGGGUGAGGACUGGGGGCUCCUCCCUCAUAGCCCUGAGCACGUGCCUCUGUCGACCACCGAGUUAACCAGGCAGCGCCGGACAUACCCUGAACCACCAAGGCGGUCGCCAUCCCGGGUCCUGUGUUCGGGGGGGGCUCGGCGCAGUUCCAGGCACGCAGCCGAGGCAGAGAGGGCCAUUUCCCAACUGGGGCCGAGUUCACCGGGGCCCACGGGAGGCGAGUGAGCCGUCCCAUCAGCGCUGGCCCUCCAAGGCUCCAGUCUGUGCCUCCAUCAGGAACCCCCGGGCCCUCCAGGACACAGCCGUGCGCAGCUUGCAGGAGCCUCGCAGUCCGGCCACCCCUGGCUCCUGGCUGCCCUGCCCUCUCCCUGAGCUCUGAGGGCCAGGCCAGUGACCCUGGGCGGAGGCAGCGUUGGGCUGGGGGCCGCACCCUUGGUCCCACCAGCAGUCCUACCCCGGGGGUCCUAGUCCCAGGGGAGCCUCAAAGUAGCCCUUCUCCUCGGGAGCUUCAGACCCUGUGAGGGAGGCCUCCUCAGCAAGGGGAAGGGACCGUCUUCUUGGGGGCAGGUGGAAGCUCAGCGUGGCCAGGGGAGGGGAGCUGCUCAGAGAAGGCAUCAGUGCAGAAGGGGAGGGAGGGCCUGGGGCAGCGAAGCUGGGAGUGUGGGGAGGAGCUCAGGGGCAGUUGGGGCACCCUGCAAAGUCACCCAGGCUGUGGGUCCUAAGAGGGCAGGACAUCUCUCCACCAGGCCCUGGCCUCGAAUGCCCUCUCCACUGUGGCUAAAGGGCCCUUCGUAGCUGCCCAGGGACCACUCCGGCUCUGGGGGAAUCAGUGGGCAGGCCCUUCGCACUCUGGGUCCCUCUGUGCUCCGCACCACUUGGCCCCGGCUUCUCCCCUGACUUUCCUCCUAACCUGUCCCAUCUGCCGCAGGCUUGGUGGUGUAUCAUCCGGGCCCAGCUGGACGGGGCUCCAGAGGGCAAGGGCCGUAUGUCCGGAAGCUCUGUCCUCAGUACCCAAAACACGGAAAUGGACCCACAGGGCCCUAAUCCGUCCAUUUGAGUGACAGAGCUGGGAGGUUUGGGUUAGACUAAGGAGGUCUCAGGAAACACAGCCUGAGGGGCCGGACUGGACGGGCAACAUAAGGGCUGUCCUGGGCUACCCCUCAGGCUGCCCCCUUCUCAGAGCCCCCCGCCAUGGCCUCUGGGAGCCAGCCUCUGCCUACACCCAGCCAGGACGCCCGCCACAACCUGCGUCCUGUGGCCCCAGACGGGGGAUGCCCCCUCACACAGAAGUCCUUUCUGCCUUCCCCACUGUCCAGACGUUUCCUGCCCCUCCCCGCCUCAGGUGGUGGCCGCUGGGCAGCUGGGAUCUGGCCCAGUUCCCCGCCCCUGACCCUCCCCAGCGAUUUUUAUCUCGGCUUUUGGUUUUUUGCUGAAUAAUAGAUGAAAGUCAUCUUCUCGGUGGAGCGGGUGUGGCUGGUGGCCCCUGGUCACUUCCAGUUCAUCUCCCACUGCCUCCUUGAUGAAGACCGAGGGUCAAUAAAUGUUUGCUGAAUUCCUUU
rnacentral:lncRNA from 1 species